rnacentral:tRNA from 1 species
AGCAGAGUGGCGCAGUGGAAGCGUGCUGGGCCCAUAACCCAGAGUUCCGCGGAUCAAAACCACGCUCUGCUA